rnacentral:rRNA from 1 species
GACGAGCGCUGGCGGCGUGCCUAAUACAUGCAAGUAGAACGCACAGUUUAUACCUUCGCUUGCUACACCAUAGACUGUGAGUUGCGAACGGGUGAGUAACGCGUAGGUAACCUGCCUUGUAGCGGGGGUUAACUAUUGGAAACGAUAGCUAAUACCGCAUAAUAUUGAUUAUUGCAUGAUAAUUGAUUGAAAGAUGCUAUUGCAUCACUACCAGAUGGACCUGCGUUGUAUUAUCUAGUAGGUGAGGUAACGGCUCACCUAGGCGACGAUACAUAGCCGACCUGAGAGGGUGAUCGGCCACACUGGGACUGAGACACGGCCCAGACUCCUACGGGAGGCAGCAGUAGGGAAUCUUCGGCAAUGGACGAAAGUCUGACAGAGAAACGCCGCGUGAGUGAAGAAGGUUGUCGGAUCGUAAAGCUCUGUUGUAAGAGAAGAACGGGUGUGAGAGUGGAAAGUUCACACUGUGACGGUAUCUUAACAGAAAGGGACGGCUAACUACGUG